AUUGAACGCUGGCGGCAGGCUUAACACAUGCAAGUCGAGCGGGCGAGGUUGCUUCGGUAACUGAGCUAGCGGCGGACGGGUGAGUAAUGCUUAGGAAUCUGCCUAUUAGUGGGGGACAACAUUCCGAAAGGGAUGCUAAUACCGCAUACGCCCUACGGGGGAAAGCAGGGGAUCUUCGGACCUUGCGCUAAUAGAUGAGCCUAAGUCGGAUUAGCUAGUUGGUGGGGUAAAGGCCUACCAAGGCGACGAUCUGUAGCGGGUCUGAGAGGAUGAGCCGCCAAACUGGGACUGAGACACGGCCCAGACUACUACGGGAGGCAGCAGUGGGGAAUAUUGGACAAUGGGGGGAACCCUGAUCCAGCCAUGCCGCGUGUGUGAAGAAGGCCUUUUGGUUGUAAAGCACUUUAAGCGAGGAGGAGGCGCUCUAGGUUAAUACCCUAGAUGCGUGGACGUUACUCGCAGAAUAAGCACCGGCUAGCUCUGUGCCAGCCGCCGCGGUAAAAC
rnacentral:rRNA from 1 species